rnacentral:rRNA from 1 species
UACGGAGGGGGCUAGCGUUGUUCGGAAUUACUGGGCGUAAAGCGUGCGCAGGCGGUUAUGCAAGACAGAUGUGAAAUCCCCGGGCUCAACCUGGGAACUGCAUUUGUGACUGCAUAGCUAGAGUACGGUAGAGGGGGAUGGAAUUCCGCGUGUAGCAGUGAAAUGCGUAGAUAUGCGGAGGAACACCGAUGGCGAAGGCAAUCCCCUGGACCUGUACUGACGCUCAUGCACGAAAGCGUGGGGAGCAAACAGG